CGUGGGAGUCCAGCGACAUAGCCAUUACGCUAACUGCUGGUUCCCAUGAAAUCAACAUUUAUAACCUAAAGAACAGUUUCUGAGAAAGAUGAGUUAAUAAAUGAGAUAGUGCACAUAAGCACUUAAUCCAGUGCCUGGAUCAGAGUGCAACAGGAUUUUUCUUCUGUAGCCUAGAAUUAGAGCUAAGGCCCACUUGCUAAGCAGCCUCACUGCAGGUUCAGCCAGCCCCUGGCGGCUGGGGCAGCUGGGGCAGCCGUCUUCCCAGAAAACUCCUGAGAAGCCAAACCCUAUCCCAGGAACAGUUCAAAGCUUUCAUAUCACGUCACCUGGGCGCUGUUCCAAACCCGUGAGGAGACCAUGAAGAGGACUCAGAGAAAAGAACCCGUGUUGCUGGGCAAGGGCUAGGCCAUCCAGACACCUUCCCAAGCAUUGGGCUCAGGACCUGGGAAGCCCUGGGUGGCAGCUGUGCCUCAGCCUCAGCCAGAAGAAUACACCAUGGUGCAGGAUGUUGAAGUUGAACCAUUGCCCCAGUCCUGAGCUAUGGUGGAAUUGGCCCUUGAAUUGCUUCAAAGAACUGGUUCAUUCCUAACCUGGGAAUCCACCUCUCUUCUUUCUCCUGGAGUCUUGCCACUGCUACUGCCCAAGAUGAAGACCUGACAUAGGAACUCUGCGAACACACACACCAGGACCUGGCACGAUGUGUUUGGCUCAGUAAGAACAUGGUGAAUGGCACCUGGGGUGAAAGUACGCGGUGGUUACCCGUGCCCAGUCCCACCGUGCAUGCACCUCCACCACAGGGGACUGCAGGAAGCCUGGCCAGGCUAGCGCAUGGUGCUUCAGAGGAGGAAAUACUGAGUGGAUCCCAGGGAGGAGGUCUGGGAACUACACUGCAGGCAAGUUGUGUGGUCCGACCGAGGGCCUCGGGUCCUACCAGGAGACUGGGUGCUGGUCAAGCUGAAUCUGACUGUGGAGGAAGAGGAUGGAACCUUCGCCUGGGAACCCAGUGGAGAUGAGGGCAGAGAGUCCAGGAAGCCAUGACUCUGGACCCAGGGCCACUGGCAUGUCUCAGCACCUGGAGCUGACAUUUUGGGGUCCAGUUUCUGACUCCCCCUUCCAAAUACAGGCUAGUCACCCAGUGGAGGUGACUCAAGGGCAAGACUAGGGUGAGGGACAGGUGGAGAGGCACUGGCAAGUUCUGGUAAGCUAUGUGGGUGACCAGGGGGCACUUCAGGAGCACAGAGGAGUAAUGCAGGGACAGCCUGGUCUGCCUUCAGGUGCCCCAUCUUCCCCCAAAACCUGCCAGACCAUUUCCCCUCCUGCUAGGCAGACAGCCACGAAAACUGACCCAGCCAAGGCCCUCACUGGCCACCUACAAUACAGUUGGAGCCAUUAUUUGGGCCACUGGAGAGGACCUACACUGGGCCUUGCUGCCCUGCCUGACUGGCUCACCUCUAGGCUCCAGACACUGUGUCCCAGUGCUGAACCUCCUGGCUGAGUUAGGCCUGUGAUCCCACUCCGCUCCUCUGCCUAGGUAACAGCACCGCUCCUCAUAACCUCAGUGACCAGCAGGAGAGGAGGAAGGGAUGCCCCGAUCAGUGGUAGUUGUCCUCCAGCAGCCAAGUCUGAGGUGGGGCUAGGAGUCACGUUAUUGGCAUGACCAAAUGUGAUUUCCCUGUGGAGGGAAGGUCAGAGAGUUCCAGAGACAAGUGGAGACCCCACUUAUCCCGGGGUCAGCUUUUGCCCUGGCCCUCCAGCCCCAGGUACUGCAGGUCACUUGUGCCAAUCAAGUCCAUUAGCGGCCUGGUAAGGAAUUGGCAGGACUCUGUUGCCGACAGCCUCCUGGAAGGUGGGAGCUUCUACCACAGCCCUUACACCAGGCCUUUCUCGCAGCCAGCCCUCCCAGCCACCCUGUUCAGAGCUGCAGCUCACCCGCAGCCCCGCUGCCCACUCCCCAUGCCCUUACCUGGCUCCCGAGUUCUCUUAUCACUGCCCAACGGGGUGUAAAGGCUAAAUGUGUUUCCAAUUAGUAAGCUCCACAAAGCUGGUACCUUUGUCUCUUUGGUUCACUGAUGUAUCUGAAGUUUCCAGAACAAGCCUGGCUCAAUAAAUGUAUGUCGAGUGAGCAAAUAACAAGCAGUUUGGGUAUUCCAAGUGGUGUAGGAACAGGAAAGAGGCACAUUCGCUGUGAAGUGAGCAGAGCUUAAGCUUCAAAUUCACUUCCUCUUUUGCACAGGCUCCUUCCAAAAAAUCUGAUUCUGGAUAUACAAUGAUAUAUAUAUAUAUUUUUUUUUGGCCAGAGGGUAAAUAUGCUCAC